rnacentral:lncRNA from 1 species
GACAGACACAGAGUGGAAAAGUAAAAUCUUAGGAGAGGUGAUCAGUUUGACAGCAUUUGGGGGAGGGGUUUACAGCCAACACGAGACGGAACACAAGAGAAACUCAGGGCUGAGGUUUCUGGGGAAGAGAUGAGAAUGGCCAUGCUCCUUCUGUGUCACAGGAGAGGAGUGAUGAUGGACACCAGCUUCUGACCCUGUCCACCUCGACAGAGUGCUUUCAUCUCAGCUAAAAAUAUCACAUUAAGACUCUUGGUAACCCAGCUGCUUCUUGCAAGGCCUCAGUGAUAACUGCUGACAAGUCAGAGAUAUUCUUUUGUCAGACAAGGAAGCUCAGCCAGUUGUAAAGG